UCGGAUACAAGAUACAAUCCAUACUAAAUAUACCUCCAAGACCAAAAUCCCAUCCAAAACUAAUAAUAUUAUAUUCAUACUAUAAUGAUGUAAUGCCCCGAGAUCCUAUCUUGUGACAUCACAUGGUGCUUAUGGACCCAAAGGACCACAAGCUAAUCUUUUACUGAUAUCUGUACCUGUACAUUGCAUAAUAUCUGAAAUAAAUGUGGAAACUAGCCAUAGGGUUCAACACAUCUAUACAUACUCAAACUGAAAACUGAAUACUAUUACAUCAACAUCUGUCUAAAAAGCCUCUAAACUAUCUGAACUAUGGAGUUGAUGGGACAUGUCCCCAACUAACUCUGUCCACUGAGAAUAUAAACCAAAUCUGAUGCAUUAAUAGUAAAUUGAGAUUCGUCCUCGAAGGAAUAGGACUCACUACUACUGCUGCUAACUGGGACUGAACUGCUAAGGAAGCUUUGAAUCCUAUGCCUCUGAAACUAUGGUGUCAAAUAAAAAACCAUAGCGCAAAUAUGUCAGUAUAAAAUUUUACCGAGUAUAUAAAAAAGGUAAGGCUAAAUGCAAAGGCUCAUGCAUGCACAAUAUGUAAACUGAAUAGUCAUGAAAAUGUUGCACGAGAACAUAUACAUGAAUGCACAGAACAUGAACACAAUUAUUGCAACGCUAGAUACUGAAACCAAGAUACCACUUUAUUGC
rnacentral:lncRNA from 1 species